rnacentral:lncRNA from 1 species
GAAUUUUUGGCCAUCCGAGUGUGCAAAGCAAGUUCCAGGCCAGCCCAGAGCUGGUAUAAAGAGAAACCCCAUCUGGAACACCUUACAAAAGAAAGAGGGUCUACAAGGAACCUCGAUGGAGAAGACACGUACCUGCCAGGCCCUUGGAAUAAGACUUCAGUUUCCAGUAGUGAACUCGACAAGUUGGGAGAACCUGCUGCUAUCCAGACUAGCCUCCAGGUUUCCAAAGGCCUCAAGAGCCUGCAAGUAACCCAGACGCGACAGUACACCCAGAGACCCAAUGUAAUCACGCCUCCAGGUGCAUCCAGGCCCUACAAGGAACCUAUGUCGCUGGUGCACUCAGUCACACCAAUGCAGCCAAAUAUUGGGAAGCAUCCAGGUCCCCCACAGUGGCUUGAUCUCCAAUCAUUGGGAACCAGUAAAAUGGAAGCAGGUCUUCUUCCAUCCUCAGGUCCUCAUGGGAGCCCGGCUGGCCAUGGUUUCCCAGGUCUGGUUUAGGAACAAAUGGGCAAAACACAUUCUGUAAAGUCUCCCAAAAGGUGCGGCCUGAAAAGCACAGAUAUCCUGGAGCUGGUGUUGGUUCUGACCAGACCUGAGACUACUUAUCUAUCACUGUGUCUGCUAUGUUCUUUUGUGUUUUGGUGAAACAUUGUAUAGAUGUCUGCUAAGCUUAUUUAUUGGAAAAUCUUUUCCCAACUCUGAGGCGGUAUCUGUCUUUAAGGUUGAAGUAUGUUUCUUGUAUGCAGCAAAAGGAUGGAUCCUGUUCUGUAGAGAAAGAGGAGCACUCCUCCAUUGCUGUUGGGAGUGCAAACUUGUACAACCAUGUUGAAAAACAGUAUGAUGGUUUCUUAGGAAAAUCAGAAUCAGUCUACCUCAAGAUUCAGCAAUUCCUCUCUUUGGGCAUAUACCCAAAGAAUGUACAUUCAUACAAUA